rnacentral:lncRNA from 1 species
GGCCAGUGGUAAAUCAGGUGUCGCUGGGUGACCGCGGGUGGCCUCGGGAGGUCCUGAGGCUAAGGGCACAGGAGACAUUUGGAGAGUGUACUUCUCGGCACUGAAUUUGGAAAGCGGUGUUCUUAUCAGAAGAGACUGGAGAUGCAGAAAGACACCAAGCACAGGAGAAAGACAACAUGACCACCGAACACGGGCUGAACUGAAGCACCAUGAGCUUCAGUGGCAAACACUAGAAGCUAAGAAAGACACCAAGCAGGAGUGUCCCACAGAACCUUCAUGGACUGCUGGCUCCACAGGGGCCUUUGUUUCCCCGUCUCGCUUCCAAAAUUGAGACAAUCUAUGCUGCUGUCCUCAGCUGCUGACGUGGUCUGUGGCUUUUAUUGGAGAACCCUGGGGCUCGUAUAGAGGAUAGGAGAAGCACCAGCCGCCCUGGGAAAUGGGGUGUGAGCAGCAGGAAGCUGGGAAUGGCCCUCUAAGAAAAACAUCUCUAAAAAUGGGGAGUAUAGCAGACCAACAAUGUCACAUGAAACGGAAUACCCUCUUGCCUGGGUGGAUGCGUGUGCAAAUGCACUGAAAGCACAGUACAGGGGUCACUGUGAAGGUGCCCACGUCUCACUACAAAACUCUACUCAUAUUGAGUUGGCACAGAGAUCAUUAAAAGAGGCCAACAAGCAGUUUAUCAAGUAAGCAAAGGGCCAAAAGAUUCCUCCUUCGGAAUCCUCAGAAUCCUAAGCAAAGGUUUGAAGAAAACUGGAUGCUAGCCCCUCUUCCUCCCUCUCCAUCUUUAUCUAGCUGGUCUGACACAUAGUCUCCAUCCAUAGGUUGCAAGCAUUCCUCAGGCAGUCCCAUGUCCUGCCAGGGUUGAGAGUCACCAUUAAAUAUCUGAACCUUCUGAGAGAAGGUCAGCCUGGCACUAUUGUCCAUGAGUGUUCCUGGAUCACGCGCUCAGGGCCUGAGGCUGGUGAUGAUCAGAUGGCCACAGGGAGAAACGGGUAAGAAGAGAGAGAAAUGAUUUACAUGGGAUCGUCCAUCUGAGCUCGGCAGAGUGUCGUUGGUCCACUGGCUCUCUAGUCUCCAUGCCAAGAUGAGGUCUGACUCUAUAAAUAUCACAAUGCGAAGCCUAA